rnacentral:rRNA from 1 species
UGAAGAAGGCCUUCGGGUUGUAAAGCUCUUUCGCCCGGGAAGAAUUCGCGUUGGCUAAUACCCAGCGUGGAUGACGGUACCGGAAUAAGAAGCACCGGCUAACUACGUGCCAGCAGCCGCGGUAAUACGUAGGGUGCGAGCGUUAAUCGGAAUUACUGGGCGUAAAGCGUGCGCAGGCGGUUUUUUAAGAUAGGCGUGAAAUCCCCGGGCUCAACCUGGGAACUGCGCUUAUGACUGGAAGACUAGAGUAUGCCAGAGGGGGGUGGAAUUCCACGUGUAGCAGUGAAAUGCGUAGAGAUGUGGAGGAACACCGAUGGCGAAGGCAGCCCCCUGGGCCAAUACUGACGCUCAUGCACGAAAGCGUGGGGAGCAAACAGGAUUAGAUACCCUGGUAGUCCACGCCCUAAACGAUGUCAACUAGUUGUUGGGAGGCUAAAACCUUUUAGUAACGGAGCUAACGCGUGAAGUUGACCGCCUGGGGAGUACGGCCGCAAGGUUAAAACUCAAAGGAAUUGACGGGGACCCGCACAAGCGGUGGAUGAUGUGGAUUAAUUCGAUGCAACGCGAAAAACCUUACCUACCCCUUGACAUGCCCAGGAACUUGCCAGAGAUGGCUUGGUGCCCGAAAAGGGAGCCUGAACACCAGGUGCUA